rnacentral:rRNA from 1 species
AACGAACGCUGGCGGCAUGCCUAACACAUGCAAGUCGAACGAUUGCCUUCGGGUGAUAGUGGCGCACGGGUGCGUAACGCGUGGGAAUCUGCCCUUAGGUUCGGAAUAACAGCUGGAAACGGCUGCUAAUACCGGAUGAUAUCGCGAGAUCAAAGAUUUAUCGCCUGAGGAUGAGCCCGCGUUGGAUUAGGUAGUUGGUGGGGUAAAGGCCUACCAAGCCGGCGAUCCAUAGCUGGUCUGAGAGGAUGAUCAGCCACACUGGGACUGAGACACGGCCCAGACUCCUACGGGAGGCAGCAGUGGGGAAUAUUGGACAAUGGGCGCAAGCCUGAUCCAGCAAUGCCGCGUGAGUGAUGAAGGCCCUAGGGUUGUAAAGCUCUUUUACCCGGGAAGAUAAUGACUGUACCGGGAGAAUAAGCCCCGGCUAACUCCGUG